rnacentral:rRNA from 1 species
UACGUAGGUGGCAAGCGUUGUCCGGAUUUACUGGGCGUAAAGGGCGUGCAGGCGGUUUGUUAAGUGCAGGGUGAAAGCUCCCGGCUCAACUGGGAGAGGUCCUUGCAUACUGGCGAACUCGAGGGAGGCAGAGGAAAGUGGAAUUCCCGGUGUAGUGGUGAUAUGCGUAGAUAUCAGGAGGAACACCGGUGGCGAAGGCGGGUCUCUGGGCCGAUACUGACGCUGAGGAGCGAAAGCGUGGGGAGCGAACAGG